rnacentral:sRNA from 1 species
GGAAGCGGACCCCCUGUGCCGUGGAAACUGGAGGUGGCCGCGGCCGCUCAGUCAGUCUGCGCAGGCUCCUGCGUUUUCUCGCUUGGAUCUGGGCACUGAGAGGCGGUGGCCGGCGGGAUGGAGAAAAGUAGGAUGAACCUGCCCAAGGGGCCGGACACGCUCUGCUUCGACAAGGACGAGUUCAUGAAGGAAGAUUUCGAUGUCGAUCAUUUUGUGUCUGACUGUAGGAAGCGGGUCCAGCUGGAAGAACUGAGAGAUGACCUGGAGCUCUACUAUAAACUUCUGAAAACAGCCAUGGUCGAACUCAUCAACAAGGAUUAUGCAGAUUUUGUCAAUCUUUCAACAAACUUGGUUGGCAUGGACAAAGCCCUUAACCAGCUUUCUGUGCCUUUGGGACAAUUACGAGAAGAGGUUCUGAGCCUUAGGUCGUCUGUCAGUGAAGGAAUUCGGGCAGUUGAUGAACGAAUGUCUAAACAAGAAGACAUUAGGAAAAAAAAGAUGUGUGUAUUGAGGCUUAUACAAGUUAUUCGGUCAGUUGAGAAAAUUGAAAAAAUCUUAAACUCUCAAAGUUCUAAAGAAACCUCUGCACUAGAAGCAAGCAGCCCCCUUUUGACUGGACAAAUUUUGGAGAGAAUUGCCACAGAAUUUAAUCAGUUACAGUUUCAUGCUGUUCAAAGCAAAGGCAUGCCUCUUUUGGACAAAGUAAGGCCGCUUCCUAAGUGUCACACGUUAUAGAUUUUGUGUAAAGACUCAGUCACAUUCUCCAGAUGAUAAGAGUAAAAUUAAUUCUGAAUUUCAUGGAAUUGGACAUAUUAUAUGAUGUAGACAAUUAAUUUAUCCAAAGCCCUUAAUUGGAUUUUAAAUCCAUGAUGUUUCCUAAAGAUUGACUUUGUAGCUUAAGAGGAAGCGUAUAGCUGGCAUUACAGCCAUGUUACAGCAGUCACUGGAAGGUCUCCUAUUAGAAGGCCUUCAGACGUCUGAUGUCGAUAUAAUACGGCACUGCUUGCGGACUUAUGCCACGAUUGACAAGACACGGGAUGCGGAGGCCUUAGUUGGCCAAGUACUAGUGAAACCAUACAUAGACGAGGUCUGUGUACCUCCUUCAGCAAACAUUCAUAAGCUUCUGUUCUGUCUUUGACUCUUUACUGGGUGUGAGGAAGAUAAGAAGAGAGAACAGAGAUCUUUCUGGAAAGAUUCUCAGUUCCUACAGUACCAGCUGUAAGGAAGGCUUGGUGUCUGUGGGUUACAGUUGGGAAGUAAUGUUACGGUGCCAGGAAUUGGGCGUGCCCUCUCAGGUGUCCCAGCAAUGCUGCGGCUCAGGCUUCAAGGGCGAGAUUCUCGCCUAGGGAGAACGUGUGCAUCCACGUGCUUUUUAGGUCAAUUUUGUGGGAGACAAUUGUUCCUCAGUAGUUGUUAAAAGAAUGUUUUCAAACCACUGGUCUUGUGGGUGGACUAAGGCAGUUAAGCAGUGACAACACUGCAGUGUACGAGGAAGGUGCAGAGAGUGCUGUGAGCGUGGAAAGGUGUGUGAGUGGGGUAGACAGUGGUACCCUCAAGUCUUCAGGGAAUAAAUGACAUUUGGCCCAAGUCUUGAAAAAUACAGAGGAGUUUGCUGGACCAGGAAGGUGAGAGGAGGAAUAUUCAAAGAUCAAGGGCUUUUAUAGCAAAUUAGCCGAGUAAUACCUUAAAUCUAGAACGUGGCUAUGCAGUAUCCUUCACUUAAAAUAUAGGAAACAAGUAUAUCCCGCUUCUGAGCAGCCAGAGUAUAGAUUGCGCCAUAUAAAGUUGCUGAUAUUCAACAGUUUCUGACAUACAAAAAUAGCAGCUUUGUCUGCUUCAAACUGAGAGAAGUCACUGAGCCCGUCCUGGGUGUUUGGGGACUUUCCUCCAGUGUCCUGUCAGUGUGAAUGUUCUGACUGUUAGUAAAUACAAAGAUUAUACUCACAUGAUUUCAGGGUGAAAGUCUUGUAUUUUUUAAAGUGGAAAGUUGAGACUCCCAAUGAUAAAAAUGAAAUGUAGGGACUAAUUUUAAUAAUUAUUUUGGCUUUAAGAUUAUUAAAAAUAAAUGAUCUUUCAGUUCUCUCUGUUUAUAUCAUGUUAUAUUCCAUAGCUGUCUCUAUGGGGGUGAAAAAAUUAUGUACAUUAUUUCUUUGUCAAUAAGUGAAAAUUUUUUUUUGUGGUUCGGGGGACAGGGUCUCACUGUGUCGCCCAGGCUGGAGUGUAGUGGCAUGAUCAUGGCUCACUGUAGCCUCAACCUCCUGGGCUCGAGCAGUCCUCCUACCUCAGCCUCCCAAUUAGCUGGAACUACAGGUACACACCACCAUGCCUGGCUAAUGGUUUUUAUUGUAGGGACGAGGUUUUGCCAUGUUGUCCAAACUAAUCUUGAACUCCUAAGCUCAAGUGAUCUGCCUGCCUUGGUCUCCCAAAGUGCUGGGAUUACAGGCAUGAGCCACUGUGCCCAACCAAUGAAAAUAUUUUAGUCACUAAUCUGUUCCUGUUUCACUGAACUGAAUCUAGUGUGCUAAAUUAAAGAAAUAUUUGAACUUUCAGUGGCACAUUAAAUUCAGUAGCCACAUUGUGUUUUAUUUAAACUCAACUUACCUUGUCAUAUCAUUCUUGACUCCCAAUUUUAUCACAAAAAAUAAAAUAAUAAACUAAUAUAUUUUCUUCUACCUUUCUCUGCCUGAAACCCUUCCCUAAUCUGAAUGAUGGUAGAAGAAAAGGCCCAGAUGAAGACAGUGAGGAGUUGUGGUGGAGAAUCGUGUGCUCUGCUUUCAAUCUUUUUUUAAAAGAUGUUAUUUUAUUUUCAGACUCACAGAGAAGCAGAUGAGAGUGCAUGGUUUGUCAGCCCAUGUCUCCCCCACAGUCGUAACUGUGCAGCCUAAUCCGAGGAACUAGUUUUGAAUGUGACCUGUUAUUUACUUCACUGUUUAGAAAAUGUGUCACAGGGAGGAGGGUGAGCGUGAGGAAGCAGAUUUGUCAAGUUUUCUUUAUUGUUUUCUCUGAAAUAUAUAGUUUGUACUUCCCUUUUAAAUGCUUUUUUAAAAAAUGAUAUUCCUUUUGAUAGGUGAUUAUAGAGCAGUUUGUUGAAUCUCAUCCCAAUGGCCUUCAGGUCAUGUAUAAUAAACUCCUGGAGUUUGUUCCUCACCAUUGCCGCCUUCUUCGAGAAGUCACAGGAGGUGCCAUCUCCAGUGAAAAAGGCAAUACUGUUCCUGGAUAUGACUUUUUGGUGAAUUCUGUCUGGCCACAAAUAGUACAAGGAUUAGAAGAAAAGUUACCCUCGCUUUUUAAUCCUGGGAAUCCCGAUGCAUUUCAUGAGAAAUAUACCAUAAGUAUGGAUUUUGUCAGAAGAUUUGAACGGCAAUGUGGAUCACAGGCUAGUGUAAAAAGAUUAAGAGCACAUCCUGCCUAUCAUAGCUUCAAUAAUAAGUGGAACUUGCCUGUUUAUUUUCAAAUAAGGUUGGUCAUUUAUUCACCUCCCCCCACCCUUCUAAAACAGAAUUUGAAUGCCAGUUAAGGAUGUUGCCUCAGUUAGUGGCUCCUUUUCUCUGAUCAUCAUAAUAGGCUUUGGGAGACAAAAUUGAAAGUGGAGAAAGAGAUAUAAGAAGUAUUAUGGUUGCCAAAGUCUGGCUUGCAUGACAAAAAGAUAAGUUUUCUUUUUUGGUAAUUGGAGAGCUCAGAACACAAGAGUUGGAAGGAGCUGACUCCAAGCCCAGCCUCAUUCCCACCCACCAUGUCCUCAUUCAUUGUGAAAAGAGAAAGUAGGAGUUAUACAGCAGCUCUUUUUUUCCAUUUUCCCAGUUUCAUCGUCUGCCUCAAAUAAUGAACCUGUCUCACAUCUGUUUUUGCUCAUCUGAGAUACUUUUCCCCUAGAGGGAAUGGGGAGAAGCAGAGCUUUAAGUGUUCUUUGCAGCUGGUUCCAUCUAUUAGUUUAUGAGAAGCCUAGUCAUUAUUUCAGCCUCCCUUUUAAUCUUUGUGACAUUUGUGCUGUCUAUUCGGGAAAAUGGUGACAUUUUUCUUCCAGGUUUCAUGAUGAUAUCACCUUUGUCAAGAAGCCGUUCUAUAAAAUACUUGGGGAAAUUUAGGAUGAACCCUUAACAUCAUACACUGCGUUGGAAAAACAAUGAUAAUAGCCAUUUUUGCAGAUUCUCUUGAAUGAGGUCAUGGUAUGUUCUUCCAUAGAAUGGCAUUUUACUUGAAAUGCAGUUUGAAGAAUCAUAGGCUUUUUUAUUUAAAUUGCUGGAUGCUUUCAUUAAUUAUGAUGCAGUCCUUUCCCCUACAGUUCUGAGGAAUAAUUACAGAGAGGGAAAUCAAGAGUUAGGUACCCUGAUGAUAAUUGCUUGAGAUGAUUGAGAAUGUAUGUAAUCAUCUUUUUAUAAUGAAAUCACAGUUCUCAGAAUGAAGUAGUAAGGUGCCCUUUCACUUACAAUACUGUGUUUUAUGCUAAAUUUUCCAAGGUUGCAUCAUCAUGUAGUUUGUCUCUCAGCAGGGAAUUACAGAUUUGUUCAUCUAAGAUAUUAAUGGGAUGCACUGGAAAUAGUUGGUAUAUGAUAAUCAACAUCAAGCCAGGGCAAGAAGCCUUUUUGAUUUGUGAGCAGGAUUUAAAAUAGCAAAGCAUCAUUUUAUAAAAUGAUACUGCUAUGGAGAAAUAAUGUUUACAUUUUCCCAUCUCUUUUUGUCGUCCAGGUUUGGAGUUAGAUUGCUUUAGUUAUCUAAUGCUGUCACCUCACAAACAUAACUCCUCUGCUUCCUGCCUCCAAACUUUCCUGGUCCUUUUCCUCAGGCCCUGGGACCCGUGCACCAUCACCUCACUCUUCCAUCCCACCACUGCACCUCCUGGAGCCCCCAUGGGCUAUUUCAGCCUAUGCUCUUGGCUCUGCCAGGCUGGGCCCCUUGGUGAUGGCACAGCUUGGCUUCAGCUGCAUCUCCCUUCAUUUCAGUUUCUCUCAAAGCUGGUAAUUGGACCUUAAACUACAUUGAAACUCAGCCAGUUCCCUGAAAGUCUUUUUUACCUUCACCAGAUUUCAGCCUUAAGCCUUCAAAGGAGCUGAUUAGCCUUUUUUUAAAAACCUCUUUUAUUUAAAAUUCAUGAAAUUUUAAAAAAAUACAUUUGAGUUAUGGAAGUGUAGAACUUGUCUUUAGUACAUUUGUUUUUCCAUCUAAAAAGUAAAUUCCAUUAAGACUUUGUAGAACUUUUCUAUUGAUUUUUAUCAGGUGUUGGGUUGUUUGCUCUGAAGGAUGACAAAAAGUUGCACAAACGUGGUUAGGGUCAGAGUUGCAUUGUCAUCAGAUUCAUUUCAAGGUCAUUUGAAAUAAACCUAAAGACAGUGGGGUGGUGAUGGUUGGACGUUUCCUAAGAAGAAAUAUUAAUAUUGCACUCUCAGUAAUAGUUUUCUGCUCCUGGAUCUGCCUAUAUACCCACAUCCCAAUCAUCUUCAGGAAAAAGGCCACCUCCCCACCCCAGCCCUCACCACAAUUCUUGUGAACGCAUUUUGUAUCCUCUCACUCUCCCUGAGACCCCACUGUGUCUACAUUUCAUUUGCACCUACGGGCAUAUUGGAAAGUAGAUGAGGACUUAGUAUCUCAUAGGAAGAAAUUAAAUGCAGAUGUGAUCAAAACAGCCUCAAAUUAUGAGUCAGUGGCUGCCUGGAAACUGCAGGUGUUAGCCCUUUAAAUGCCAAAGGCUAAAUUUCAGUUUGCUGUUCUUUUUAAAACUGAAAUCUUUCUAGUACAUUCACAUGUAUAUACUGUAUUACAUAGUAUAUGCUGAAUACAGUCUUAUGAUGUGGAAUCUACGUAGUAGUAUUAAGGUGCAAGUAGCCCUUUCCGGUUCCUGCACUCCUCUCAGACGUGUAGCCACAAGAGACGGGUGCACUUAUGAUGUUUCCAAUACUUCAGAGAAAAAAAACAAUAGGCAUCACUAUUAUUAUCGCCAUUGUUAUUUUUAUUUAAGUAUUAUUGUAGACCUGUGAUGUUCGUGGAGGAAUAUGUCUAGCGACCUUCCCUAGGCCUAUAUUUAAGAAUUUAGAAAUGUUUGUAUUUGGGGUUGCCCUUCUUACAUGGAUCCUGUUGAGAGUAGAAUGACAUUCGAUGUGCACAUGAAAACCACAGCAUAGCUUUUCAGAUUUCAGCAGAGGUUCCCUCUCACUUUUGGCCAUUUUCCAAGAAGAAAUAUGAUCUGUUGCUUCAUUCCUGGAAGUUAUUGCACAGCAGAGCUGUGUGAGGGGCUGGUCCCCUGGCUGGAGAGCACACCUAGGCCAAGUGACUCAGGUAGUUGUAAUCAUGCAUCAUUGUCCCUUCUCACAGACAGGCAGAACCUCUCUGUGAAGUGCAGGGAUCAAGGCUCUGCUGCAUUUUUUUUGGUCCUUUUUCAUUUGUGUGCUUUUCAGAAUUAUCAUAAAUAUACAUAAAACUUUGUGUCUCAUGUCUUUGCAUGGUACUAAAUUAUACCUAUUUUUCCUUAUUGGUUUAUAGCAUCGUGCUUCCACAUUAAUACUGCAUACUAGUCCAUUGAAUAUAUCGCAGGUUCCAUAACCAUAUUCUUUCUUUUGGCCAUUUAGGUUGCUUCCAGUUUUUCCCUGAUAUAAACAGUGCUGUGCCAGCUAUCAGGCCUUUUCUGUAUCAGGUCUAACUUCCUAUAUUUUGUUUAGGUUUUGAAAAGGCAGGACUUGGGGGUCUGAGAUUGAGCUCUAGGUGCUGGUUUGCUCUCCCAGGUGCAGAGCAAUCCCAUCUCCCUUGUUCCCGUGUUCAGCGUCACUGCCUCCUCUUACUGCUGUUCCUGGGCUAGUUUCCAGUGCUCUCUUAUCCCACUUUUCCAUCCGUCACUUGUUCCUUCUGUACCUCUCAACUGCAGCUUGAAAAGACUAGCCUUUUGUACGCUUCACUGGGCAAUUAGAGAGUUCCUUUCCUUCCAUGGGGCAGACGGGACAGCUACUGGAAACCAGCCAGCUAUAAUGGUCCAGGAUAGCCUUAGUGUCUUCAGUGCUCAGCUGUGUUGGGUAGGGCUGCUGCUUUUUGUCUCAAGCUGUUCUUUUUACUCUUUGGACAGUUGCCUUUAGCUCAGUCUGUGAACCGCUUUGUAAAAGUACAUUAUGUGCUAUAAAAAUAAUUUAAUAUCAGUUGGAUAAAUUGAUAUUGAGCAUGCAUCAGAAUUCAUUACUAGUAAGGCAAUUAGCAGGUAACAAAAGAGCAUGCUAGUAAAGAGAUAUAUGAAAUUGGAAGAGUUAUAUAGUUAGAAAACAAUGCCUGCAAAAGCAGCUAGCUUCAAAAAACUAUAUAACACAUUUGCCUUUCACAAAGUCAUAAAAACAUGUCCAUAUCCAUCAUUAGAACAGAAGUCUGUGACAGGAUGAGCUGAGGUGCCAGGUGGGCCAGCUGUCAUCAGGGAAAAAAGAACGCACAUCUAGGAGGCGCUGGUACAGACACUGAGCCGUAGUACCUGAAGGGCAAGUACCAUGGACGUGGCAGAGGGUCACAGAUUAGAAGAGCACCAAACAGCGAGUUCUAGUUUUAACUGGCUACUUCCUGUGAUUUUUCUCAAGCUGCCAACACAGGUACAGAAUGCAGCUUUCUUAGCUUGGGGACAUUUACCUUCCCGUGAUGGUGUUAAGAUAGAUGGGUUGGAGGAAUGAAAGUUUUAUGGCCUUGAAGUGAAUAGAGGAUCAAAAUCAGGUGCUGCUCACCAGCAACAACUUCUUGAUGGAGACUUAACUGGCAGUUUGUUUAAUUUGAGAAACAUAGGGUAAGUUAUGAUUCAGACCAGCUGCAAAUAACAGAGAACCCUUAUAUAACAGUGGCUUAGUCACGAUUUCUUGUUCAGUUAAAAAAAAGAA